rnacentral:rRNA from 1 species
CCUACGGGAGGCAGCAGUGAGGAAUAUUGGUCAAUGGACGAGAGGCUGAACCAGCCAAGUAGCGUGAAGGAUGACUGCCCUAUGGGUUGUAAACUUCUUUUGUAAAGGAAUAAAACGAGGCACGUGUGCCUGUUGGCAUGUACUUGAUGAAUAAGCAUCGGCUAACUCCGUGCCAGCAGCCGCGGUAAUACGGAGGAUCCGAGCGUUAUCCGGAUUUAUUGGGUUUAAAGGGAGCGUAGAUGGGUUGUUAAGUCAGUUGUGAAAGUUUGCGGCUCAACCGUAAAAUUGCAAUUGAUACUGGCAGUCUUGAGUACAGUUGAGGUAGGCGGAAUUCGUGGUGUAGCGGUGAAAUGCUUAGAUAUCACGAAGAACCCCGAUUGCGAAGGCAGCUUACUAAACUCUGACUGACAUUGAUGCACGAAAGUGUGGGUAUCAAACAGGAUUAGAUACCCGAGUAGUC